AAAUAUUAAAUAUAGGUCGCGGCGGUUCUUAUUUUGUUGGUUUUAAUGGGUCCGCCCGUGAUGAUUUAAUAGGGACCAGUCGGGGGGCAUCAGGUAUCCUACGGUUCAGGAGGUGAUAUUCCUGGCAUCAGUUGAAAGCCUAGCUCCUGCGAAAGCAUUCCCAAGGGAUGUCUCCAUUUCAUCAGGAACGAAAUUAGGGGAUCGAAGACCGAUCAGAUUCCGUCGCUAGUCUUAACCAUAAACUAUCUCGACUAGGGAUCGGACGGUGUUAUUCAUGACCCGUUCGGCUCCCUUACGAGAAAUCAAAAGUGCUUGGGCUCCAGGGGGAGUAUGGUCGCAAGGGCUGAAACUUCACAGAAAUUGACGGAAAGGGCACCCACCAGGGGUGGACGCCUGCGGCUUAAUUUGACUCAACACGGGGAAACUCACCAGGUCCAGACACAAUAAGGUAUUGACAGAUUGAGAGCUCUUUCUUGAUUUUGUGGGUGGUGGUGCAUGGCCGUUCUUAGUUGGUGGGGUGACUUGUCUGCUUAAUUGCGAUAACGAACGAGACCUUAACCUGCUAAAUAGCCCGCAUUGCUCCGGCAGUGCGCUGGCUUCUUAGAGGGACUUUCGGCUCAAGCCGAAGGAAGUUUGAGGCAAUAACAGGUCUGUGAUGCCCUUAGAUGUUCUGGGCCGCACGCGCGCUACACUGACGGGGUCAGCGAGUUCCUUGGCCGAAAGGCCCGGGUAAUCAAGUUAGCCCCCGUCGUGCUGGGGAUAGAGCAUUGCAAUUAUUGCUCUUCAACGAAAAAUCCCUAGCCCCCCGCACGUCCCCAGCUUGCGUUGAUUUCAUACCUGCCCUUCCUUAUCGCCGCACGUCAAGGGCGAUUCGUAAAACCUGCACGACUAUACUCUCUAGUC
rnacentral:rRNA from 1 species